rnacentral:rRNA from 1 species
CCUACGGAAGGCAGCAGUGGGGGAUAUUGCACAAUGGGGGGAACCCUGAUGCAGCGACGCCGCGUGGGUGAAGAAGCGCCUCGGCGCGUAAAGCCCUGUCAGCAGGGAAGAACAUGACGGUAACUGACGAAGAAGCCCCGGCUAACUACGUGUCAGCAGCCGCGGUAAUACGUCGGGCGCAAGCGUUAUCCGGAUUUACUGGGUGUAAAGGGGGCGCAGACGGCGAUGCAAGCCAGGAGUGAAAGCCCGGGGCCCAACCGCGGGACUGCACUUGAAACUGGGUGGCUGGAGUGCAGGAGGGGCGGGCGGAAGUCCUGGUGUAGCGGUGAAAGGCGUAGAUAUCAGGAGGAACACCGGUGGCGAAGGCGGCCUGCUGGACUGCAACUGACGUUGAGGCCCGAAAGCGUGGGGAGCAAACAGGAUUAGAUACCCGAGUAGUC